rnacentral:rRNA from 1 species
GAUGAACGCUGGCGGCGUGCUUAACACAUGCAAGUCGAACGAUGAAGCCCAGCUUGCUGGGUGGAUUAGUGGCGAACGGGUGAGUAACACGUGAGUAACCUGCCCUUGACUCUGGGAUAAGCCUGGGAAACUGGGUCUAAUACUGGAUAUGACUUCUCAUCGCAUGGUGGGGGGUGGAAAGAUUUAUUGGUCUUGGAUGGACUCGCGGCCUAUCAGCUUGUUGGUGAGGUAAUGGCUCACCAAGGCGACGACGGGUAGCCGGCCUGAGAGGGUGGCCGGCCACACUGGGACUGAGACACGGCCCAGACUCCUACGGGAGGCAGCAGUGGGGAAUAUUGCACAAUGGGCGCAAGCCUGAUGCAGCGACGCCGCGUGAGGGAUGACGGCCUUCGGGUUGUAAACCUCUUUCAGUAGGGAAGAAGCGAGAGUGACGGUACCUGCAGAAGAAGCGCCGGCUAACUACGUG